rnacentral:rRNA from 1 species
CAGUCGCCGCGGUAAUACGAAGGGUGCAAGCGUUAAUCGGAAUUACUGGGCGUAAAGCGUGCGUAGGCGGUGAGUUAAGUCUGCUGUGAAAUCCCCGGGCUCAACCUGGGAAUGGCAGUGGAUACUGGCUCGCUAGAGUGUGUCAGAGGAUGGUGGAAUUCCCGGUGUAGCGGUGAAAUGCGUAGAGAUUGGGAGGAACAUCAGUGGCGAAGGCGGCCAUCUGGGACAACACUGACGCUGAGGCACGAAAGCGUGGGGAGCAAACAGGAUUAGAUACCCCCGUAGUCCCUGUCUCUUAUAC